GUGACCUCAACUGACUUCUCAAUUGCUUUCUACUUAUUCAGGAAGCAGGAAAUGACCUGAAAGGUGAAUAUAAAGAAGAGAGAAUGAAUCAUAGGAAAAAAAUUUAAUCUAAUGUACUUUAAAACCAAUUAUAUUUUUAAUACCACCUAUCCUCACUGGGCCCUCAAGAGGCAUACACAUAUUGCGGGAGCUGUCAUUAGGAUUUCAGGAAUGAUUUUAAAUCUUUCUGUGGCAAAUAUUUCCAACCUUUUGUAAAUUUAAUUAUCAAGUUAUCAAGCACCC
rnacentral:lncRNA from 1 species